AUCAUCAGGAUUAAGGUGACCAAAGCAAGCUGAGCAAAGGAGAGUGUAAUGGUACAAAGUCGGAGAAGGCAGAUUUUAAAAGAGCAGUCUUCCAAGAGGGCCUUAUACAUACAUAUACACCAUUGUGUCCCCUUGUAUUGCCAGGCAAGAGGUCUCCAAGAGCACCUUGAAGAUUGUGAGUCCCAACGUGCCUGAUGUUCAUGUCCUCCACAGCAUUCCACCUCCUCCUCCUGGGGUUUCUGUAGGGCAAGUGUGCAGCUCACCUCCCUGCAUCCCCAGCUUCUAAUACUUCACAGCAAAAUGGCCAUGAUAUCGAAUUCAGCCAGAAGGAACACAGUGAUAACACAGCCUGGUUAUGAAUGAGUAAAAGGCUGCAACAGCGGACAAGACCGAAAUCCCUUCAGGGCCUGAAGAGUGAAAAAGUUAAAGGAGUCCCUGUCAGGUCCACCUAACUGCAAAGCUUUUAGAAAUGAAAAAUCUUUUAAUGUUUUUUUUUUUUCUUUUUAUGAUGUCUCUCUUGGUGCUUUGGGUUUUUUGGUUUCUGUUGUUUGAAACAAUACCAUGAUUUGAAAGGCAGCGUUACUUCCAGCUCCAAGCACCAGAUGCCGCUCCUCUUGGUUGUUUUGCAAUAUGGUGAGAACCGGUUUUUCAGUUCUGUCUUUCUGGCCAUAUCCUUAUGGACAUAGAGUAAGUCUGUCAUCAGGAAAGCCAGAGUGGCAGGCUUGUGAUACGUGGCUUCUUGUGGAAGAUUAUUCAUAGUUUAUUUUCAUGAAAAGCAAGUAUAACAUAGUGGACGCAUAGUUUGACCUCAUUGAAUGCUGAAACAUGGAGUGGCCCAUUUUAAAGAGUUUGAAAGUAAAUCAUUUAAAUCAUUACACUGUUUCUAACUGAUAUUAAAAUGGAAUAGUCCCAAAGAUUUAUGCCAUGAUUAAUGAUUGACACAUUUGUUUAAAGCAAAGCUAGUAUAUGCAGACACAUUGUUUGUCAACCAUAAUAAACUGUUUGUGUGAGUUA